UGAUCCUGCCUUUUAGGCAUCCUCUCCCAAACUUUCACAGCCCGGCCCCGUGCCGGGCUUUUUUUGUCUGCGCU
rnacentral:sRNA from 18 species